UCCUACGGGAGGCAGCAGUGGGGAAUAUUGCGCAAUGGCCGCAAGGCUGACGCAGCGACGCCGCGUGUGGGAUGACGGCCUUCGGGUUGUAAACCACUGUCGGGAGGGACGAAUACUAGGCUUGCCAAGGGUGACGGUACCUCCAAAGGAAGCACCGGCUAACUCCGUGCCAGCAGCCGCGGUAAUACGGAGGGUGCGAGCGUUGUCCGGAAUCACUGGGCGUAAAGGGCGCGUAGGCGGUUCGCUAAGUGGCUGGUGAAAUCCCGGGGCUCAACUCCGGGGCUGCCGGUCAGACUGGCGGACUCGAGCACGGUAGAGGCGGAUGGAAUUCCCGGUGUAGCGGUGGAAUGCGUAGAUAUCGGGAAGAAUACCGGUGGUGAAGGCGUUCCGCUGGGCCGUUGCUGACGCUGAGGCGCGACAGCGUGGGGAGCAAACAGGAUUAGAUACCCUGGUAGUCCACGCCGUAAACGAUGGGCACUAGGCGUCGGGGGGAGCGACCCUCCCGGUGCCGUCGCUAACGCAGU
rnacentral:rRNA from 1 species